rnacentral:rRNA from 1 species
AUUGAACGCUGGCGGCAGGCCUAACACAUGCAAGUCGAACGAGUGGCGGACGGGUGAGUAAUGUCUGGGAAACUGCCCGAUGGAGGGGGAUAACUACUGGAAACGGUAGCUAAUACCGCAUACCAUCGGAUUUGCCCAGAUGGGAUUAGCUAGUAGGGGGGGUAACGGCUCACCUAGGCGACGAUCCCUAGCCGGGCUGAGAGGAUGCCCAGCAACACUGGAAAGGAGAAACGGUCCAGACUCCUAGGGGAGGCAGCAGUGGGGAAUAUUGCACAAUGGGGACAAGGCUGAUGCAGCCAGGCCGGGUGGAUGAAGAAGGCCUUCGGGUUGUAAAGUACGUUCAGCGAGGAGGCGUUACUCGCAGAAGAAGCACCGGCUAACUCCGUGCCAGCAGCCGCGGUAAUUC